CAGGGACUAGGGGCACUGGGACGAGGAGCCUGGGGACGAGGGGGAUGGGAGCAAGGCGAGUGCGGAUCUUUUACGUCUUCACAGGUGGCCUUAACGCCUGCCAUUCUCCACAGAGGGUAGAGUUGCAGGAGCUUCCACUUUGAUUUUCCCACUACAAGACUCACUCUGUUGAUCAAGGAACCAGUUGAGGUUUUGCCCAGUUGCCAGCUUCAAAUACAUACUUCAUCGCCUGCUUGGUGAAAAUGGAGCUGGGCCCUAAAUUGUUUCUCCUUUAAAGCAGGUAUGACGUUAAGCUUUGUAAGUAGAGGGCACUGGAGGGACCCUGCAGGAGGAAAGUGCUUCUCUUCCUGUUCUGCACUUUCUUCUGUUUUCUUCUUGUUCCUGCCAUGUGGCUGCCAGCACACUCAGUGUUGCUCACCCCCAGCCAACUUCACUUGCAAUGCCAUGGGUGGAUCCCCGUGAGUCUUGCAGAUGCUCCACUGGUCAGCAUCCAGCCUCAGCCUGCCCCAGAGAGGUGUUUCCUGCUUGCCAGUCCUGGCCAGGCUCCCUACCUGCCACCUUCAACCCCUCUACACCUGCAGGAGUGAUUGCCCAUUGACUGUGGACCAGCUCUGGCUACGGGAAAACCAGAGAACCUCUCCAUCAUCCAUACUGCACCAAACAGCAUCUCUGCAACCACACCUUUUCCAAGAUUUGAGCCCCAGCCUUGGGGAGGAGGCCAUCUUUCACAUUUUCUCCUUCCUUGGGAACUCUCUGUCAGCCCAGAGUAUUCUUUUGCAUUAUCUUUAGCCCUGUACAGAUAAUUCCAUUAUAGUAAAUAAUCCUUUAUAUUAAACGUUCCUUGCCCAAAUGACUGUGCAGUUUCUGUCUGCUGAUUGAUUGCGCCCUGAUGCAGAAAGGUAAAGUAACUUGACAUGUUGCACAGCUGGCCCACACAAUCACACAGCUGAGACUGCACAAG
rnacentral:lncRNA from 1 species